AUCUGUGGCUCUUUGCUAUAACAAUAGUUUUAACUAUUUUAUGCGGAAUUGUUGAUGAUACCUGCGCUGAACCACACCCUGCAAAAGUUUUGUCAGGCAACAGGCGAUACCACGAUGGACGCUUAACACCGGUGAGAUUAUCGCUGAAACCGUGUCCUCCAGGGCAAACGCGAACCCGAGAUGGAAGCUGCAGGAGAACCUCCGGUUAAAUAGGAGCGUCACAGACAUCUGAGUAACAUUUAUGAAUAAUAUAUGGGAAACCGUCAUAGCAGCCGGAUAGUCUGAUAAUUUUGGAUAAGAUUCAUGCUUUCAUAGUAGAGGAAAUCAAGAUUGAUGUAUGAUUUGUGAUAAACAUUGAUGAAAAAUUUUUCUAUCGUCAUGUUGUUCCUACAAUUUCUCCAAUUUAUUUCAUAGCUCGUCUCGGUGUGAGGCACAGUUUUUUAAGGACAAUGGGAAAAAGCUGACUGAUUUGAAAGGAGCUUGGGUUGUAGUUUUGCAAUUACGGCGCUUUGGCAAUAUCGAGAGAUUUUUCCUUCCCCUUCUUUAAUCCUGAAUCUUGAGUGAUUAUCACAGUUCAAGGAAAUUACAUUCUAUAAGAAGCUGCGCAUCACGGAUAUCUACGUACGUACACUGUCAAGGUAUAACAUAUUGUUCGUUAAAUGGCAGUGCAAACAUUCAAAGUGUUAAUUGUUAUCAUUUCGAUUGUCGUCAUUUUAUAUGCAAUCGUUGAUGAAAUAAAUGCCGAUAUUAUAAUCUUGUCACCUUCGCGAGCUAAUUCGAAAACAGGAGUGCGAUGUUCAAGUGGCCAAGUACGAGCUUUGGAUGGAACCUGCAGACUACGGGUCUUGAGAAAUAAAUUAUUGAAUAGAUCCAUUCUCCGGAAUUGAUAUUUAUCUGGUUUGCUGAAGAGUCUUUGAAAAAUUUUAUUAUACAAAGCCGGAUAUGGAUUCGCCAAUAAAAUAUACAGGAAAUUUAUUCGUGAUGUCCUCCCGCAGGAUGCCUCCCUAGGCAUGAAGAACUUGGUGUACAGUACCCAACAUUCGCUUUGUAAAAUGGCGAUAUUAUAUUAUGACGCGUAAUUCAGAAGAAUAAAAAUAUAACAAGAAAUAUUACUCAUCGUAAAUUCCUAUCGUAAUCACAAUGUUUAUUGCUAAAAGUAUUCGUACAGGUGUUGUGUAUUGUAUGCAUGAAUUAAUUCCGAGUAGAGAUUGAAUCGGGUAUCCUUUCGACUAAAUAAUAUUUACUCGAACAAUUUGAAUGCGUAUCACCUCAACUGCGAUCUGGGACAAUAGUGGGAUACAUGGCAAUAUAAAGAGAAACGAUUAUUCAUGAUAUACCCCCUUUACGCCCGCAGUGUUCACUUGACCGGUCUUCAGAGUCGUG
rnacentral:lncRNA from 1 species